UCCCUGACAACAGGGACAUCUGGCUGCUUGGUGAGCUAAUAAAGAUGAGCAAGCAUCAUGACCCCCGGCCCUCAUUCUACUGCCAUUGUUCUAGUGAAGUUGGAAUUCAUCCAGAGGCACGUUUCACUGUUCUGUUCACAGGCAUGUUCAGAGAUUACUGGGGAUUCAAGAAGAUGAGAAGCUGUGGAUUCCUUCCAGGUUAAGAUGGAUCAGGUUUGAUCAAGGAAGAUGCCCUGAGAGGUUUCCAGAUAUUAAAACACCCAGAUUAGCUUCAAGGCAACUGUCUCAGACAAUGCAGCCUCACAGACUAUUCCAGUAA